rnacentral:piRNA from 1 species
UAGGUCCCUGUGACAGUAUUUGUCUUUUCC